AAAAAAAAAAAAAGUCGUUUGACUACACUUUAAGCUUUUAAAAUCCACUCCCUAUGGUACCGCACGAGAAAAUGCUUUUAAUUCACAAAAAUGGCAGUUACAACUAAUUGUAAAAGCGCGGCCUUGGAAAGUGUAAAACAAUAUUUUUGUUACAGCUGAAGAAAGUUCGAGGAAUUUGAAAGUCUAACCAAAGGGAGAUGGUGGCCUGUACCUGCUCAGAAAGCAAGGAGUAGUAUCAUGUAUCUGCCUCAAGAACAGCUUGGCAUUUGAAGCAGAUGACCAAACAAGAUCUCAAGCUCACCGUCUCCUCCCCCGCCGGGCUGAGACUUACAGCAUGAGAGUAGGCGCCAUAGGCCCCAAACUGGAUGGUCAUGGGACUGAAGAUGCCGAGCUGGCCCGCCAUCUGGUGC